CCUACGGGUGGCAGCAGUGGGGAAUAUUGGACAAUGGGGGGAACCCUGAUCCAGCCAUGCCGCGUGUGUGAAGAAGGCCCUCGGGUUGUAAAGCACUUUCAGUGAGGAAGAACGCCUGGUGGUUAAUACCCAUCAGGAAAGACAUCACUCACAGAAGAAGCUCCGGCUAACUCCGUGCCAGCAGCCGCGGUAAUACGGAGGGUGCGAGCGUUAAUCGGAAUUACUGGGCGUAAAGCGCGCGUAGGUGGCUUGAUAAGCCGGUUGUGAAAGCCCCGGGCUCAACCUGGGAACGGCAUCCGGAACUGUCAAGCUAGAGUGCAGGAGAGGAAGGUAGAAUUCCCGGUGUAGCGGUGAAAUGCGUAGAGAUCGGGAGGAAUACCAGUGGCGAAGGCGGCCUUCUGGACUGACACUGACACUGAGGUGCGAAAGCGUGGGUAGCAAACAGGAUUAGAUACCCGAGUAGUC
rnacentral:rRNA from 1 species